AUGUUGGGAAAGUCCGUCCUCUAAGACACCAUUGUAAACAAGUGAGGCUUACGUUCACAAGCAGUGCGCACUGUUGGACGAUCAGUCCUUUUGAGUCCGUUAAUCAAACGAGGACCCAGCUAGUAUAAUUAUAGAUAGGAAAGGGGAAAGGGAACAAGAGGUGUGUGUGUGUGUGUGUGUGUGCGUGUGUGCGUGUGUGUGUGUGUGUGUGUGUGUGUGUGUGUGUGUGUGUGUGUGUGUGUGUUUGUUUGUGUUGUUUUAGGCCCAGACUCUGACUACCGAAUGUGGUGCUUCUCUGGCCUCUAUCCUUGUUAAAAUUACCUUUACUUAUUAUAUUCCAACUGACUCACUUGGGACGAGCUUGGAAGGAUGGCUCAGGAGGCAGGCUGACGUCACCACUGGGUAGGCGGUAUUCGGAAAAGCCUCGCGCGGAUAAGUCCCUCAUUGGGACAAGGGCGAGUUACUGGUGAGCCGGCGUGAUAAACAAAGAAGAAGGAACGUGUCUCUGUAGUACAACACACCUGUGAAACACUAUUGUCUCUCAUAACGCCUUCAAAUCGGCAGAGUGCUUUUUGAACGUUGAUUAGAUAUUGACGUACAUUUAUUGAAAUUUAAUAAUGCAAAUUAUCGUCAGCAAUCAAUCUCUUGUCCACUGCACAGCCGACAAAAAGUGACCGGCGCCGCCGGUCUUGCCCUGUUAAUGAUCCGCCCCUGAUCGUGAAAUGGAUAUAUUAUACCUGUUUUGAGCUCUGAGCAGACUAAAAUCAAUAUCGGCUGUAUAAUUUAAUUUGAACUAUUUGCUAUUAGCACUUCCAUUGUUGUUGUUGUUGUUGGUGGUGGUAACAAUCCAAAAACAGCUGGGUUCUCACCUAUCUGUCCAAUGCCAUGUUGUCAUGUAGUGAUAAAAGCAGGUUUGCUGCAGUUGCUGUAUUGUUCCAAAGAGUGUGUUGUCAGUGUUAGGUCUCGGGAGGGAAAAGUGCACCUCUGAGGUAAUUAGUUAAGGGCUGUGAAGAGGAGCAGGUGAUGAUCCACAGUCUCAUAAAUAUGUAAGUUACACAAAGGACACAUUGGGGAAGUUCUUGAUUUAUUCUGCUCAAGUAGAAGUUGAGAUAUGUUCUGUACGUAGGCGGAAGAUCGUGAUUAGUUUCUUUCUCUGUAGGUGGUUGUUAUUGUCCUUUCUAUGUGUUGUGGUCAAAUGUUGAAAUCUGCCUGUCUUUCUCAAAGCCCACCUGUUCAUCCCAUCUUGAUUGUUGCCACUUUAAUGAUUUGUUGUGCAGUGUUGUAUGAAGUUGGAAUGUUGGGUUGUUUCUUCCUAGAUCCCGUUUUGGCAAGCGUGUCUUCAAAGGGAAUCUUUGUCAUUUCCAGAUCAUGGAUCAGUACCCACUGACGGACACGGGAAAGACAAGUAGGAAGGAGCUGAGACGUUUGGCUACACACAAGUUUGGCGUACAGUGACGUGGGUGGACGCCUCUCGGAAACAAUCUUAUUUGUUGUAGGCUGACAUUUCAAAAAUUCAAAAUUUCCUCUCUGCACCUCUGCCUGAAACAAUCUUAGUUGUAGGCUGACAUUUGAAAAAUUCAAAAUUUCCUCUCUGUACAUCUCCCUGAAAGAAUCUUAGUUGUAGGCUGACAUUUGAAAAAUUCAAAAUUUCCUCUCUGUACCUCUCCCUGAAAGAAUCUUAGUUGUAGGCUGACAUUUGAAAAAUUCAAAAUUUCCUCUCUGCACCUCUCCCUGAAAGAAUCUUAGUUGUAGGCCUGCAUUUCAAAAUCCAAAAUGACUCUACAAUAAAAAACAAAUAAUUUCACACUUGUAAAAUGAUAAGACACACCACAUUUACUUUACACCACCCUUUUGAUCCCAUAUCUAUUUGACGGUGUCUCUCCUUUGUAGCAGUAUUAAUUAACUAUGAGAGCUAAUAGUUUAUUUAUGAUCUCACUUGAAAAAAAAGAGGGCAAAUCAGGCAAAAGUGGACCACGAACAACUUACUUAGACUUGGAGAAUUUGAACAGAUUAGAUCUAGAUCUAUAGGUGAUGGGGAAAGCAUUGUUUCAAAUCUGGUACUUCUUGCUUGAUGAUAUAAGGUAAUGUGUAAAAAGAGAGUGCUAUUUCUUUCCUGGAAUAUGAGAGGUAUAUUAUGUAUUUUGCUGUCCGUGUAUAUUUUAAUCCAUAACAUUUAUGACGCACAGCCGAUCACUCACGUAACGAAAUCGGUGAGACGCAGACAUCUUUUCUUUGUGUAAGAUUACUAAGAAUUUUGCUGUGUACUUGUUGCAAAAUUCGACUACAUAGAAUAUUUAUAAACAUUAAUAUGUAAGUUGUAAAAGAAACAAUUGUGGACCUGAAAUAAAUCUUUUCGUUAUGUG